rnacentral:rRNA from 1 species
GGGAAUAUUGCACAAUGGGGGAAACCCUGAUGCAGCGACGCCGCGUGAGUGAAGAAGUAUUUCGGUAUGUAAAGCUCUAUCAGCAGGGAAGAAAAUGACGGUACCUGAUUAAGAAGCCCCGGCUAACUACGUGCCAGCAGCCGCGGUAAUACGUAGGGGGCAAGCGUUAUCCGGAUUUACUGGGUGUAAAGGGAGCGUAGACGGCAGCACAAGUCUGGAGUGAAAUGCCGGGGCUCAACCCCGGUACUGCAUUUGAAACUGUCCAGCUGGAGUGCAGGAGAGGUAAGCGGAAUUCCUAGUGUAGCGGUGAAAUGCGUAGAUAUUAGGAGGAACACCAGUGGCGAAGGCGGCUUACUGGACUGUAACUGACACUGAGGCACGAAAGCGUGGGGAGCAAACAG